rnacentral:rRNA from 1 species
CCUACGGGUGGCAGCAGUGAGGAAGAUUGGUCAAUGGGCGCGAGCCUGAACCAGCCAAGUAGCGUGAAGGAUGAAUGCCCUACGGGUUGUCAACUUCUUUUAUAAAGGAUUAAAGUGAGGCACGUGUGCCUUUUUUUCUGGACUUUAUACAUACGACUCGGCUAACUACGUGCCAGAAUCCGCGGUAAUACGGAGGUGGAAAGCGUUGUCCGGCUUUACUGGGUGUAAAGGGCGUGCAGCAGGGAAGACAAGUCAGAUGUGAAAUCCCGCUGCUCAACCGCGGAACUGCAUUUGAAACUGUUUUUCUUGAGUACCGGAGAGGUCAUCGGAAUCACUGUUGUAGCGGUGAAAUGCGUAGAUAUAAGGAAGAACACCAGUGGCGAAGGCGGAUGACUGGACGGCAACUGACGGUGAGGCGCGAAAGCGUGGGGAGCAAACAGGAUUAGAUACCCCUGUAGUC